UCAGGACCCUAAAAGGAUGCGAGGUGAUCAGUUAGGUUCCGAUGUCCGAGGAGGUGACAAUGAGUGAGAGAGCCGGCAGGCAGUGGUUCACAGCAGACUGAGCUGACAGAGGGAGGUUCAGCAGAGAGGAGUCACUGGAGUAAUUCCCAUUAAUCAGUUCACUGGGGAACUCGGGAAGCACACAGCAGAUUCUGCAAGGAGACACAGGGCUCCCCAGAAUAGGGGUCUACAACCGGCGGCUCUGGGGCCACAUGCAGCUCUUUGGUCCCUCUGCAGAGACUCUUUGAAGCUUUGAUCAAAACUAACAUGAGAUUGGUGUCUUUUUAUUUUAUUUUAUUUUAUUUUAUUUGUGUGUGUGUGUGUGUGUGUGUGUGUGUGUGUGUGUGUGUGNUUUAUUUUUUAAAUCAAAACGACACUCGUGACAAGAGAAAACUUCGAUUUAGCAAGAUGAUUCUCCAAUGUGUGUGUGUGGGGGGUGGGGGGCAGUGUGUGUGUGUGUGUGUGUGUGUGUGUGUGUGUGUGGUUUUUAUUUUCAAAACAGGAAAGUCUAGUUUUAGCAAUUUUUCUGU